UCUGAAAGUCCAUCUUCUCUAACUUGGAUGAUUGGAUAAGCUUCAUGUCCUUAGAGAAUAUCUCUGGUGUGGCCAUCAGCUUAGGAUAGAGGUUGAAUUGGAAAUGGAGAUUAAUUCAGUCAACCCAUCUCGGAGACGGAGUCGCGAUAUCCGCCCUUGUACAUAUGAAGGGGGUUUCCGUCUUGAUUGUGCACCUCACUCGAUUGGGGAUGCGUACUAGCACUCUUUAUCCAAAGUUCAGGGCAUUUCUGGAGUCUGCGUGUUCUUCCACUUACUUUGCUGGAAUUGCAUUUUGUGCUUCUCUUACGAACACCUGGAACAACAAACUGAUCGUGGCUUCUCAAAAGGUGACAACUCAAGCCACACAUUAAUCAUCAAGGUGCAACCGUGCAAGUGAAGGCAGGGACUUUGACAGCUAGUGCAGGCAGGAACUUUGACAGCAACAAAAGCCAUUUCAUUGCUGGGAUUUGUUGGACAAGGUUGCUAGGAGUACUUCCAAGAGAACAUCAAGGGUGAGUGUUCCUCUCCAGACACCAAUUUUGAAGAUUUGUGUGGUUUGUCCUGCUUGGUCAAUUCUUUGUUCAGCUUGUUUGUAAGGCCAUAUGUUUUUAUCACGUAACAAAAGGUAGAAAGCAGGAGACUUUUGUAGGGACUGUUGUUGACUUUCAAAACAGAUGAUACACAUGUAUCGUAUACGAGAUUGCGACCGCUCAGGGAUCUCCAUAGCUCCACGGUGACACAAGUAAAAGAGACACUGCACAAAAAAAAACAAGUAGCAGCACUGGUAGGUUAGAGAGAGGCCUCAACCUUUUAGCGUCUGCUUACCGGCUCCUCCUUCGAACAAAGUUGUUGAACUCUUCUUCUCUCCUUUGCAGCAGGGCUUUCGCCUUUCUCUUGAUGUGUUUUCUGUGUCCUUCACUCUAGCACUAUGCUUGCUUUUAUAGAGUGUACAUGAGGAUAAGAUUGAGUCUUGAAUUUGAAUUUCAAAUUACUUUAUCUCAUGGCAGAUCAUGUAUGGCAGAUAAAUUCUGUUGCAUUCAGUUUGAAACGAAC